ACAGAGGGUGCAAGCGUUGUUCGGAAUUAUUGGGCGUAAAGCGCGUGUAGGCGGCUUUGCAAGUCGGGUGUGAAAGCCCUCAGCUCAACUGAGGAAGUGCGCCCGAAACUGCAGAGCUUGAGUGCCGGAGAGGGUGGCGGAAUUCCCGGUGUAGCGGUGAAAUGCGUAGAGAUCGGGAGGAACACCGGUGGCGAAGGCGGCCAGCUGGCCCUGACCUGACGCUGAGGCGCGAAGGCGCGGGGAGCGAACGGGA
rnacentral:rRNA from 1 species